AUUGAACGCUGGCGGCAGGCCUAACACAUGCAAGUCGAGCGGAGCGGCGGACGGGUGAGUAAGGCCUAGGAAUCUGCCUGGGAGUGGGGGAUAACGUACGGAAACGGGCGCUAAUACCGCAUACUAUUAGAUGAGCAUAGGUCGGAUUAGCAAGUUGGUGGGGUAAAGGCCUACCAAGGCGACGAUCCGUAACUGGUCUGAGAGGAUGAUCAGUCACACUGGAACGGAGACACGGUCCACACGCCUACGUGAGGCAGCAGUGGGGAGUAUUGGACAAUGGGCGAAGUCCUGAUCCAGCCAUGCCGCAUGUGUGAAGAAGGUCGUCGGAUUGUAAAGCACUUUAAGUUGGGAGGCGUUACCAACAGAAUAAGCACCGGCUGACGUCGUGGCAGCAGCCGCGGUAAUUC
rnacentral:rRNA from 1 species